GGGGACCCUGGCCCCGUGGGCCCUGCUGGGAGAAGAGGGAAUCCAGGUGUGGCUGGCUUGCCUGGAGCACAGGGGCCUCCAGGAUUCAAGGGUGAAAGUGGGUUACCUGGGCAACUGGGUCCCCCUGGAAAACGAGGGACAGAAGGUGGAACGGGGCUUCCUGGGAACCAGGGGGAGCCAGGAUCCAAAGGCCAGCCGGGUGACUCUGGCGAGAUGGGCUUCCCAGGAGUGGCUGGCCUCUUUGGACCCAAGGGUCCCCCUGGAGACAUUGGCUUCAAAGGCAUCCAAGGCCCUCGGGGUCCUCCUGGCUUGAUGGGAAAGGAAGGUAUCAUUGGGCCCCCCGGAAUGCUGGGACCUUCUGGACUCCCGGGUCCCAAAGGUGACAGAGGCAGCCGAGGGGACUGGGUGAGUGGACAGCCUGGCAGGCAGUACUAUGGUGCGAUGGGCAGAGAACCCCUCCUCAGAGCACAUCUCCUAACUGUCUCUCCUCUCCAUUCUAUCUCCAGGGACUGCAAGG
rnacentral:lncRNA from 1 species